rnacentral:rRNA from 1 species
AGAGUUUGAUCCUGGCUCAGGAUGAACGCUAGCGGCAGGCCUAACACAUGCAAGUCGAGGGGCAUCACGGAAAAGCUUGCUUUUCUGGUGGCGACCGGCGCACGGGUGCGGAACGCGUAUGGAACCUGCCCCUGUCAGGGGAAUAGCCCAGGGAAACUUGGAUUAAUGCCCCAUGGUACCGUUAUAUCGCAUGAUAUUACGGUUAAAGAUUUAUCGGACAGGGAUGGCCAUGCGUACCAUUAGUUAGAUGGUGAGGUAACGGCUCACCAUGGCAGCGAUGGUUAGGGGCCCUGAGAGGGGGAUCCCCCACACUGGUACUGAGACACGGACCAGACUCCUACGGGAGGCAGCAGUGAGGAAUAUUGGUCAAUGGGCGAGAGCCUGAACCAGCCAUGCCGCGUGUAGGAAGACGGCUUUCUGAGUUGUAAACUACUUUUAUAUGGGAAGAAACGCGCCCACGUGUGGGCGUUUGACGGUACCGUAAGAAUAAGGACCGGCUAACUCCGUGCCAGCCGCCGCGGUAAUAC